GAUGAACGCUGGCGGCGUGCCUAAUACAUGCAAGUCGAGCGAACGGACGAGAAGCUUGCUUUUCUGAUGUUAGCGGCGGACGGGUGAGUAACACGUGGAUAACCUACCUAUAAGACUGGGAUAACUUCGGGAAACCGGAGCUAAUACCGGAUAAUAUUUUGAACCGCAUGGUUCAAAAGUGAAAGACGGUCUUGCUGUCACUUAUAGAUGGAUCCGCGCUGCAUUAGCUAGUUGGUAAGGUAACGGCUUACCAAGGCAACGAUGCAUAGCCGACCUGAGAGGGUGGUCGGCCACACUGGAACGGAGACACGGUCCAGACUCCUACGGGAGGCAGCAGUAGGGAAUCUUCCGCAAUGGGCGAAAGCCUGACGGAGCAACGCCGCGUGAGUGAUGAAGGUCUUCGGAUCGUAAAACUCUGUUAUUAGGGAAGAACAUAUGUGUAAGUAACUGUGCACAUCUUGACGGUACCUAAUCAGAAAGCCACGGCUAACUACGUG
rnacentral:rRNA from 1 species